GAAAUGCGAUAAGUAAUGUGAAUUGCAGAAUUCAGUGAAUCAUCGAAUCUUUGAACGCACAUUGCGCCCGCCAGUAUUCUGGCGGGCAUGCCUGUCCGAGCGUCAUUUCACCCAUCAAGCCCCCGGGCUUGUGUUGGGGACCUGCGGCUGCCCGCAGGCCCUGAAAACCAGUGGCGGGCUCGCUGUCACACCGAGCGUAGUAGCAAUCACCUCGCUCAGGGCGUGCUGCGGGUUCCGGCCGUUAAACAGCCUUACAAAACCCAAGGUUGACCUCGGAUCAGGUAGGAAGACCCGCUGAACUUAAGC
rnacentral:misc_RNA from 1 species